rnacentral:rRNA from 1 species
UACGUAGGGGGCAAGCGUUGUCCGGAAUCAUUGGGCGUAAAGAGCGUGUAGGCGGUCCGGUAAGUCGGCUGUGAAAGUCCAGGGCUCAACCCUGGGAUGCCGGUCGAUACUGCCGGACUAGAGUUCGGAAGAGGCGAGUGGAAUUCCCGGUGUAGCGGUGAAAUGCGCAGAUAUCGGGAGGAACACCUAUGGCGAAGGCAGCUCGCUGGGACGUUACUGACGCUGAGACGCGAAAGCGUGGGGAGCAAA